CCUACGGGUGACAGCAGUCGAGAAUCAUUCACAAUGGGGGAAACCCUGAUGGUGCGACGCCGCGUGUGGGAAGACGGUCCUCUGGAUUGUAAACCACUGUCCCCAGGGACGAAGAUGACGGUACCUGGGGAGGAAGCUCCGGCUAACUACGUGCCAGCAGCCGCGGUAAUACGUAGGGAGCGAGCGUUAUCCGGAUUUCUGGGGUUUAAAGGGUGCGUAGGCGGAUUGUUAAGUCAGCGGUAAAAUGUCCGGGCUCAACCCGGGCCGGCCGUUGAAACUGGGGAUCUUGAGUGGGCGAGAAGUAUGCGGAAUGCGUGGUGUAGCGGGGAAAUGCAUAGAUAUCACGGAGAACUCCGAUUGCGAAGGCAGCAUACCGGCGCCCGACUGACGCUGAGGCACGAAAGCGUGGGGAUCGAACAGGAGUAGAUACCCUGGUAGUC
rnacentral:rRNA from 1 species